UGCCUUAUAAUUGAAGGCUAGUAUGAAUGGUUUGACAAGAAUAUAGCUGUCUCUUUAUGGCUAUUUAGAAUUUUAUUUAUAGGUGAAGAAGCCUAUAUUUCAUUAAUAGACGAGAAGACCCUAUCGAGCUUCAAAUAAAUUAAUAGAUAUAAAUCAAUUAAAUAAUAACUAAAAUAAAAACUAUUAAAUAUUCUUAGUUAGUUGGGGCGACUGAGGAACAAUAAAAGCUUCCUUUAAGCAUUUUAAUAAACUAUACUAGUUUUAAUCCAAAAACUUUUUGAUCAAAGAAAUUAGCUACCGUAGGGAUAACAGCAUAAUCCCUUUUGAGAGUUCCUAUCGAAAAGGGGGUUUGUGACCUCGAUGUUGGACUAGAAUAUCCCAAAGAUGCAGCAGUCUUUAAGGUUGGUCUGUUCGACCAUUAA
rnacentral:rRNA from 1 species